AGCGAGGGCUGAGUAGCUUUCUUGGGCGCGAGCGCACGGUCAGGUGCGAGGCGCCAGCGCUCGCUGUGGCCUGAUGCGGGCAGAGACGCCAGAGCGCUGGAACUGGAAGGCGCGCCGCUAGGACACCCAGCAGAGGGCACUGCCGUGAAUGGAGACGCAUCACAUGGAUGGAGCCAGCACCAAGCCAGGAGCCAGGAGCCAUCUGAGUGCCCAGGACAAGGCGCCGGGCUUGUGGGCGUGGCCAGAAGUUAGACCCCGCCCACCUUUCCUUGCUGGAAGCCCAGCGGUUUGGAUCCGGGUGUGUUUGAUCUGUGACUGAGGUUUGGAGACAAUUGUGAUCUCAUCAUGACUCAGUUUUUCCCAAGUGGCCAGACUGCCAGAGCCUCUGCUAAUGUGACCCCACCCCAUCCAGUCAGCCACAGAGGAUAGGAAAGUGUGCUCCUGUCUUUCCUUCUUCAUUUCUUAAAGAUGUGGGAUCACUUGGGCUCUCAGUUUCCUUCGGGGUGAAUUGGAUUUCAUUGACAGAAGGCUCUCCUCAUCCCGUUUUUAAGAUGGGCCAUCACUACGCUGCUCAGGCUGGCCUCAAACUCCUGGGCUCAAGUGAUCCUCCUGCCUCAGCCUCCAGAGUAGCUGAAAAUAUAGACAUGUCACUAUGUUCAGUUUUUCUUUUCUUGUUUUCUUUUUUCCCCCUUUUUCCCUUCGCUUUGCUCUGUUUGGUUAAAGAUUUAACUUUUCCUUGUACAUUUUUUUUCUCAAGAAGAUUGGUGCAGAGGCACAUGCCUGUCAUCCCAGCACUCAGGCUGAGGCAGGAGGAUCAUUCCGAGUUCAAGACCAGCCUGGGCUACAAAGUGAGCACGAAGCCAGCCUGAACUGCAUAGUGAGACCCUGUCUCAAAAAAGACAAAAGUAAAUAAAUAAAUCACUUUUUUCUCAA